rnacentral:misc_RNA from 1 species
UGUGGGAGCGGGCUUGCCCGCGAUAGCGGUGGGUCAGCCAACACAUGUAUCGACUGAUUCAUUGCUAUCGCGGGCAAGCCCGCUCCCACA